rnacentral:lncRNA from 1 species
GAAAGCGAGAAGCAAUCAAUCAGCUCCACUUCGGGAAGCUGGACAUAUUUAGAUUCAAUAACUGUCGUCAUUUAUAAGAAAUCUGUUAUGAACUCUUGCUUCAUUUACUGCAUUUUGCUGCAGGUUAUUGUCUUAAUCAAUUGAAAUGAGCCCCCACCUGCAGAGCUGGUAUGUUUGAAUCGAUCCUCUUCUCCAACCAGGACGGACCAGUCUGGGAGUGUGAGCCGAUGGUCACGCUCAGAUGGCUACGGUGACGCCACAUCCACUGUGGGUGAACCUGGGAACAAACCAUCAACACUGGCCUCUUAUCGUUCACGUCAAGUUCCUUGUUUUUCUUCCACACAGCUUCAUUUCAGCUGCGGUCCUCGGAGGCCGCUCUGUGUCUGUGGGUGGUGAAGACAUGUGCCUCCGCUUCAUCUCACGCCUGUAGAAAUACAGAGAGGGAAGAACUGCGCUCCAGCCCCAAACCACACGCUCAGGCUGUUUGGAAGCAGGGAGAACAGCGUCGGUUCUGAAGCCUUGUAUCUGUGAGCCGAGUUGAAUGGAUCUACACAAAUGUGGUGCGGAUGGAUGAGGAAAAGACCACCCAAGCUACGGACAGACAUUAAAGUGGUUACUGUAAAGAUGAGCAGAGUUGGAGGUGAGCUCACUUGGACCCGACGCCCUGGACCCGCUCGGUCCUGUUCUGAACCUUUGUAAGGAAUCAUCCUCAUGGCUGAAGACUUCUUCAUCACUGCUCUGUCCUGGAUGGUUGCAGAUCGACGUUCACCUCUUGCCCACAUGUUUCGUGCACGGAGCUCAGACCUGCGUGUUGAAGCCCCACAGCUCAGAGGUCUUCACCCAUGAUUAUAUAAAAGCUGUGUGUUGUCUUCCUGAGGCAGUGGAACAGGCUGACAAAUACCUUAUUUAAUGCAGACUGAAAAUAUGAUUUCAUGAAGGAGCAAAUAAAGAGUCAUGGCUGAUUUCUUUUAGUGAUUAC